rnacentral:tRNA from 1 species
GGCACUGUGGCAUAGUAGGUUAAAGCCUUGGCCUGCAGUGCCAGCAUCCCACAUGGGUGCCAGUUCUAGUCCCAUCUGUUCCA